rnacentral:rRNA from 1 species
UACGUAGGUGGCAAGCGUUGUCCGGAAUUACUGGGUGUAAAGCGCGUGUAGGCGGGAGGCCAAGUCUGCUGUGAAAUCGCCCGGCUCAACUGGGCGGGGUCGGUGGAAACUGGUCACCUGGAGGACGGUAGAGGCGAGUGGAAUUCCCGGUGUAGUGGUGAAAUGCGUAGAGAUCAGGAAGAACACCCGUGGCGAAGGCGGCUCUCUGGGACGGUACUGACGCUGAGACGCGAAAGCGUGGGGAGCAAAAGGG